GAUGAACGCUGGCGGCGUGCCUAAUACAUGCAAGUCGAGCGAACGGACGAGAAGCUUGCUUCUCUGAUGUUAGCGGCGGACGGGUGAGUAACACGUGGAUAACCUACCUAUAAGACUGGGAUAACUUCGGGAAACCGGAGCUAAUACCGGAUGAUAUUUUGAACCGCAUGGUUCAAAAGUGAAAGACGGUCUUGCUGUCACUUAUAGAUGGAUCCGCGCUGCAUUAGCUAGUUGGUAAGGUAACGGCUUACCAAGGCAACGAUGCAUAGCCGACCUGUGAGGGUGAUCGCCACACUGGAACUGAGACACGGUCCAGACUCCUACGGGAGGCAGCAGUAGGGAAUCUUCCGCAAUGGGCGAAAGCCUGACGGAGCAACGCCGCGUGAGUGAUGAAGGUCUUCGGAUCGUAAAACUCUGUUAUUAGGGAAGAACAUAUGUGUAAGUAACUGUGCACAUCUUGACGGUACCUAAUCAGAAAGCCACGGCUAACUACGUG
rnacentral:rRNA from 1 species